UACCGUCGUCACAAAGAAGAUAAUAAAAAAAAACUAAUUUUAAAAAAGUAUUUAUAUUCCAAUAGUUUUAACGUAAAAUACAAAAUACAAAAGUGUACGAUAAAUUAUACAUAUAUAUAUAUAUACCAUAUACACAGUGUAUUAAAAAAGUUCCGGGACUGAUUUAACAAAUAAUAAUACAACAAUCGAGUUAAAGCAAACAAUUUUAUUUAAUUUUCAACACAGUCCCCUGCUCUUUACGAAUAGUUUUGACGCUCAUACAGUUCCCGGAGGGCUCUGGAGAAAUCGUUUUCUGGAAUGUUUCGCAAUAGGCUUGUCACGUUUUGUUCGAUAAAGCCUGCACAUCGUUAAAAACGCUCUCUUUUCGUGGCAGUUUUCAGCUUGUAAAAAAAGAAAAUAGUCUGCUGGGGCCAAAUCGGGUGAGUACAGUGGGUGGUUGAUUACAAUAACGGAAUUUUCAAUCAAAAAUUGUG